GUCCACAAACACCUUUGGGGGAGUUACAUGAAGUUGAGUUGCUCACUUGUGUGAAAGAAAGAGACACAGAGUGAAGAGGUUGUGAGAGAGAGAGAGAGAGAGAGAGAGAGAGAGAGAGAUGGUUGAUCAGACACAAGUGAUGUUAUAUCAGAUGAGACACACAGAUGCUUUCCUUCAAGAUAGGAAGCACGGAGGCUAGAGAUGAAGACAAGUGCAGCAAACAAUAGGACGAUAUAUUGUACUGGAGUGCAUCAGCAUGCAGGACACAUGUGUGCAGAGCCUGUGAGCUGCCCAUUGAUAAAAAUGUCUCGGUAAGAACCGCCACGUUGACCUGAUAGGUCAGAAUCAAGAGGUGCCACCCACCUGAGACCCUGCCUCUCUUUAAAGGAGUCAGACUGGCAACAAGCAACUCAAUUACAGUGUGGCGGUAAAAUGGGGAGACAAGAAAAGAUGGAGACAAGAAUGAGAAAAGAAGACAGAUUGAGAUUCAAAGAGACAGAUCUGAGACGAAGGUUUUCUGCUCUACUGGACUCCAGAGAGAACAUGACACAUCAUUUCCAGCGCUUGAGUUUAACACACCUGUUUUGGAGGAUGGAUGACGUUUCUCUUUCUGCUCAGUCUAUGUGCUGUGAACAGGAGAAGGUUCUGGACACGUGUGUG